AUGUGCCUGAGAUCAAUGGCAAGAGAUGAAAGCCUGGCCAAAGCACUGUGUUAAUAAAGUAGGCUGAUUAUACAGUUUACUACAAGUAGAAGGAAUUGCCACAAACUGGUACUUCUGGAGCAGUGUUCAGGAAGAAGGCAGGAACUGCAGCUGAAUCUAGUAAUAAGACACGAUGAUGAUGAUGAUGAUGACAGCAAUGACAACAGCAACAACAAAAAUAGAGGCUGGGUGUGGUGGCUCAUGCUUGUAAUUCCAGCACUCUGGGAGGCAGAGGCAGGAGGAUCGCUUGAGCCCAGGAGUCUGAGACCAGUCUGGGCAACACGGCAAGACCCCAUCCCUACAAAAAAUUUUAAAAUUAGCUGGACAUGGUGGCAUGUAUCUGCAGUCCCAGCUACUCAGGGGGCUAGGGUAGCAGGAUCACUUGAGCCCAAGAAGUAGAGGCUACAGUGAGGUAUGAUCACACCACUGCACUCCAGCUUGGGCAACAGACGAAGACUCUGUCUCUAAAAAAAAAAAAAAAAAAAAAAAGACAAAAAAAAAGUGCUAGAGAACCAGAUUUAAAGCAGAAGCAGUCCGGAAAUCACAUGCAAAACUGCUCCCAGGGAGAAACGCAAGCCCAGGCACAGAGCCCCGCUUGAUGGCAGGUGCUGGACAAUAACAAUGCUGGGAUCCCCGCCUCUGCUGCCACUUUCCUCACCAGCAUGGAUCCUGCCCUCUCCUUUGUGUCACUCACUAAAGGCUCAAAGUCUGGUUCAAGGUAGAAACAAUUUUACGUGUCUCAGAAAGAACAAAGAGUUUAAGAUGGUGAUGCUGAGAUUCUGGACAAGAUGGACAUGGUGAUCUCUACUGGAAUCCGGGGACUGCUGUACUACGGUCAUAUACUACUGCUGGGGGCCUGGUGUUCCCGGGGUGCACUGGGGGCCUUGCUGUACUGAUAUGGUCAUAUGCUACUGGGGGCCUGCUGUUGCUGAGGUACAUUGUCAGCAGGCCUAGGCAUCGAAAAUGACACAACUGU
rnacentral:lncRNA from 1 species